CGGUUCCUUCCUCCUCGGCUAACGGCGGGACGACGCGGCUGACGUCCAGCUCUGGGUACAAGGCAUGGACGGCGUCCCGACCGUCCUCGAACCCGACCCGGUAUGAGGCGAAGCCCGACUCGAGCAUCUCCUCCCGGUAUUGGUCGGAAGUCCGAAAGUCUUCCACCGCCCGAUCGGCCGACUCUUUCGCCGACCUUGCCUCGUCCUCCGCAUGGGCGAGCGACUCCCUCGCCGACUCCGCCUCAACCUUCGCCAUUUCGGCAUCGAUCUGGGCGAUGGAUAGCUCCUCUUCGGCUUCGGCGAGCUUCUCCAGGCUGACCCGAAGUUGCUCGCGUUCCCCUUGGAGUUCGACGGUGGCGCCGUCCCGUUCGCGUCGAAGACGACGCACGGCCCGACCCUUAUG
rnacentral:lncRNA from 1 species